AAGGGAGCAUCCUAUAGCUCUCCUAUAACUGUUCUGAGACCAGUGCAGACAGACAGCACACUGGAGGUUAAGUCAUGCACUAAAUAAGGAGCAAGGGAGCAUCCUAUAGCUCUCCUAUAACUGUUCUGAGACCAGUGCAGACAGACAGCACACUGGAGGUUAAGUCAUGCACUAAAUAGGGAGCAAGGGAGCAUCCUAUAGCUCUCCUAUAACUGUUCUGAGACCAGUGCAGACAGACAGCACACUGGAGGUUAAGUCAUGCACUAAAUAGGGAGCAAGGGAGCAUCCUAUAGCUCUCCUAUAACUGUUCUGAGACCAGUGCAGACAGACAGCACACUGGAGGUUAAGUCAUGCACUAAAUAGGGAGCAAGGGAGCAUCCUAUAGCUCUCUAUGCAGUUAAGUGCG